UACGGCUGCUACUCUUGGCUCCUUACUCCAUUGUCCCAACCUGAUUCUCCUGCUGAACACAGUUACAAUCAUGCACAUAAGGCUACGCGGAAUGUGAUAGAAAGAUGUUUUGGUGUGCUGAAGUCACGGUUUCGGUGUCUGGAUAAAUCUGCUGGCCUUUUGUUGUAUAGUCCCUCAAAGAUAACUGAGGGGAUCGGGGCUCAUCACUCUGCGAACUCGCCAAUAGUGCCAGUGGUGGCUGGGGUGACACUGCCGAAAGUCGUCGCCUGGGUGGGGAUGAUGGAGCCGCAGAUUCCGAGCCAAGACGCCGUGUCUUACUUGGCCUCCUGGAAUAUGUGACUACACUGAAGUCUUACCUGCAAUCCCAGCCUCAUCCUGACUUGUCUGAGGCCUGUCUGGCCGGCUGGUCUGUGGGAC